UCUGGCCAGAUUGGAGCAGUUUAACCAAGACAGUGAAACAGGGAAAAGUCAACACUAUCAAAGGCAAAUGGAAAAGCCUGAAAGACGCCUUUAUCCGCCAUCGCCGCAAACAAAAGGAGCAGAGGAGCGGAUCCUCCCCAGGCGGACGCUCCAGUUAUGUGCAUGCAGCACAAAUGUCAUUUUUGAUACCGUGCACCGAAAUGCGGAGCACCGAUAGUAGCUGGGAACCCAGCCAGGCGCAAGCUGAUGAGGAAGAGGACGAGGGCACAAUCGACAGUGAGCCGGGCCCAUCUAUGGGGCCAAUGAGUCCUCCAGCCCCCCCCCCACUCCGACUUUCGUCAGCCCCAUGCAGACUGUCCAAGCCGUACCAGAGGCAACUCGGCAGCCCCGACAUAAAAGGAGGAGAACUGAGAGACAGGAGGACCGGCUAAUCGGCUGCCUGGAUGCCCUGGCACAUCCUGUGCCA